CACGACAACGAGCAAGGGUUGUACAACAAGAUCGGUGGAACCAACGGUGGUGGUGGUAAAGAUGAGCAUGGGGAUAGUUUCAAAAGAGAUAUGAGAGAGUUACAAGAACUGUUCUCUAAGCUUAACCCCAUGGCUGAAGAGUUUGUACCUCACUCGCUUGUUAACAAUGGACUCAAUGGUGGGUUUCACACUAACAAUAUUGCUUUUCAAAACAACAAUAACAACAUCUCAAGGAAUGGUAAUGCUAAUUGGAAUGGUGGUGGUAAAAGGGUACGUCACCAAAACCCCCAGUUAUUUUCAUUGAUGCUUAGUGUACAUUUUGUAUAAGGAAAUUGAUAUGCUUUGUGAGUAUUAUUGCUGUAUUGGUCUUAUGUUUGGUAGGGUUGGUUCUUAUUUUAGGGUUUUUUUUUUGGCUGAUAACUUAAAAAAAUCGAAUUAUUCAAGUUCCUGUGAUGGUCUCACCCUAUAUCCAAUGUACGGUAACUACAUUGUCUAUCUGUUUUCUCAAUAAUGGAGAAGAUGAAAUAGGAUUUAAUUGAACAAAUUUGGUUGAGUGGGGGUUAUCCUUUUAUGUUAUGUACAUUUUAAACUGUACGAAAGCUUAAAUUCUGAAUAUUAGCGAAAUUCCGUAUGAUAUCAUGGAUUUUGUUCAUUCAUUUCAUUUUUCUCAGAAGAAAAAUUUAGGUCAAGGGAAACGGAAAUCGAACAGCAGGACAAGUAUGGCUCAAAGAGAAGAGGUUAUCCGUAGGACUGUUUAUGUGUCUGAUAUCGACCACCAGGUAUGUUUAUAUAUUCAGCAUUUUCAGUUUUGUUUGUAUGCCGCAAUCAAAUUCUUCUGUUUUGGAUUUGUCAUCUCUUGUUGGGAUGCAGGUCACGGAGGAGCAGCUUGCCGGUUUAUUUGUGGGUUGUGGGCAGGUGAUGUUAUUUUCAUUGCUCGUCUUUGCAGUUUUAUCAAAAACAACCUAUCAGAAUGUACUUUUUUCUUCUGAAGGUGGUUGACUGUCGCAUAUGUGGUGAUCCUAACUCUGUACUUCGUUUUGCUUUUAUCGAGUUUACUGAUGAAGGUGAUGUUCAACCAUGGUUAUUUGUUUCAUUCUUUAGUGGAUAAACAUGGUAUUUACAUUCUUUACUAUGCAGAAGGUGCACAAGCUGCGCUGAACCUGGCAGGAACUAUGCUUGGAUUCUAUCCAGUUAGGGUGCUGCCUUCGAAAACAGCUAUCGCACCAGUUAACCCGACAUUUUUGCCGAGGGUGAGGCUGAUUGUCGUAAAUAUAUUAUACUAGAACUUAUUACAUUUUCUUUAUGUAUUCGGCCCGUUAAAACAUUUGUUAUUUGGAUUUCAGAACGAGGAUGAGCGUCAAAUGUGUGCGAGAACUAUCUACUGUACAAACAUUGACAAGAAGGUGAGAAGCUUUUUUGCAUUUUAUAAUGUUGAAUAUAAAAACGAUCCCGAUUGCAAAUAACCCUUUAAAUUUUUUAUUAUAUGAUUUUACAUACUGCAGGUUACUCAAGCUGAUGUUAAACUCUUUUUCGAAACAGUCUGUGGGGAGGUUUGUUUAACUCUGGUGUUCUGUUUUUACUAUUUAUUACGACAAAACUGCAUUUAAAGGGAGUACUUGUCUGAUGCAGGUUUACCGCCUGAGGUUGCUUGGGGACUAUCAGCAUUCAACUCGCAUUGCUUUCGUCGAGUUUGUGAUGGUAGUUGUUUUUUUCCUCUUCAUUCAUGCAAUGUGACUGAACAACUUUUCCCUUGUUUAUCAAGGCUUUAAUGAGGUAUACAAGUGCAUGACCUUUAGAUCUGAAAAUUUUGGCUAGCCGGUCAGUAUUCCCCUUUGGAAGAGUGCAUUCUCUUGUGAGCUGUGGUUUUUGUUUUCGUGGAUUAAAUUCAAAAGCAAAAAACUCGAUUGAACUGUUGAAUUCUAGUAUAGUAGGUGGUACUGCAUAGGGUAAAAGUACCAUGGAGGCCCUUGUACUAGGAGUUGGAUUUUAUUUUGCUUCCCUACUCAAAAAAUUGGCAAAUUAGUCCCUAUUCGUUAGAUCAAAGAGCUAAGUGGCCUUUCUGUGAAAAAUUUUAUCCAUUUCUACUGUUAAAAACUGGUCCAUGGACAUUAAUAUAAGGUACAUGUGGCUUGCUAUGUGGCACUGUCUGGUUAUUCUGUUAGUUACGCUAGUUUCUAAUAGUACAAAUGAAUGUAUUUUGACAAAAAAAAACUAAUUUGCUUUUUGGUUUAACGUAAAAGGAUUAGUUUGUCCAUUUUCUGGGUAGAGGAGGCAAAAUGUAAUUUGACUUCUAGUAUAGGGGCCUGCAUGGUAUUUUUACUUACUGCAUAGAUAACACUCCUCGGAGCUGUGGAUUUUGUUCCUCUGUUUGGCUUAUUGAACCUAUGUUGGCUUAUUGGAAAAGUUAUUGGUGUUUCAACACGGGUUUAAACUUUGGAAGUGAUAUUUAAUGCCUAUUAGUCAUCCCGAGAUUGGGUUACCUCAGUGUUGAUGAACGAAAGAUUGAGUUCUCUCGUAUUCACCUGCAGGCUGAAAGUGCGAUUGCUGCUCUCAACUGUAGUGGUGUGGUUCUGGGAUCAUUGCCUAUAAGGUCAGAUUCCCGAUUCUCCCAUCAGUUGUCGUAAUGAUAUAUUCUCUCGGUUUUCUUUUUUUUUUUCACCGUAAUUUCUAUCCAAAUAUCGAUAAAAAGUAUAUAUAUAUGUUGCCUUUUAAGUGAAAAGCUCGGGUGUUGUGUAUGAACAGGGUCAGCCCAUCAAAGACCCCAGUUCGACCACGAGCUCCUCGCCUUCCCUCGUACUAAAUCAUUCACUCCAAACUGAUUUUAGUUCCAAGUUUAUAUAUAUAUUUAAAUACAUACACAGCCAUGUAAAGAUGUUUCCCCCUGUUGCUCUUGCUGAUCUACAUAUAUAUCGUCCACUGCUGCUAUGUUUCGGCAUCUUCGUUUACCAUAGGAGUCUUGUCUUUUGUUUAUCCACGCACGCAACUUUGCUGUACAUAGAGAAUUCUGAUGGAACUUCGAGACUUCUCGAACAAUGUUAUGCAUUAUUGCUCUCUAAUCUUGGACAGAAUUUGACACUAUCUGGUAAUUAAAGACUGUGUGAAUGAUGUGGUACUUUCAGUACACAUUUUUUGAGUUAUUUCUACUCAUGGAUGAUGCUUUUCCUUUUGGAUGUUCUUCUUUUACCAGCAUUGGUUCAAAGUUAGCUUUGUGUUGUGCUGCAUUUUCAAGACAUGACAUUGCAUUACUAGGUAAUGUCCAAAUAAUGACUGGUUCUGAACCGGUUAUUGAUCAACUCAGUGAGUUGAAUGAUUACCACAGAUAUUUGAAGCAUACUAAGAAAAGGCAUUUUCUUCAAAAAAAAAUUACACUUAUAGUCAUCUAAUUAUUGGUAAAGUAUUUUUUUGACUACUUAACUAUGUAAAGUUAUAAAAUACUCAUUUAUCUAUUUGAUUUUUAUUAUGGCUAAUGAAAAUAUGAGAUGUCAGUUUUUAAAUUUGGUAAAAUAGCAAUUUUGAUCACUAACAUUUAUAUAUUAUGUCCAUUUACUCUUUAAUUUAAAAAAAUUAGGGAAUUAAUUAAACGAGUUCUUUGCAUUCAUCGGAGAUGGUAAACAACGAUGGAGAUCACAAUGACAAAAGUAAGUAGCUUAGUUGAACUAAUAUUAAACGGUUCAAGCAUGAACCUUAUGAAAUCAAUAUCGAAGAUUUAAUUAUUUUAGCCUUUAGUGUUCAACUUAAAAAGAAGAAGAGAAAAAGGGAAUUAUGUUGUUGGAUGUUUUGGUGCUUUCAAUUUUGGUAUUUUUUAAUUAAAUGUAGUUGAUAAAGUUGUUUUUUUUAACUUUGUAGGUGUAAGGGAAUCAAAAUUGUAAAAAAGAUUAAAUUAAACAAUGCAUAAAAGUUGAGUGUUAAUUUUUUUAUAAUCAAAACUAAAUUGAUACAAUGUAUAAAUAUUUAAGGAUUAAAAUUGCAAUUCUGUUAAUCUUAAAAGUUGGCAUAACCCCGUUUAUGGCUGUUUGUUAGCGGCCAAAAAGAACAAAUUGAAUAGCCAAAAGAAAAUUUAUUAAUAAUUGAGUAACCACUAACAUAGUUUACCAAAAGAGAAACAUCAACGCUCAUUCAUCUUGUAGACCCAGAAAACAUGGGAAAAUACAAAGAGUUAGGUAGUGAGGUGACCCCCUAAAAUUGAAAAUUUGCAAUUCUAACCUCUUAUAAAUAAUUAAAAUAUAAAUUAACAUAUGAUAAAAUUAUGCUUUGCCCUUAAAAUAAAAAAAAUCUACUUUAAUCCUUUAAAAAAAUAAUAAAAUCAUAAAUUAAUACAUAAUAAAGUCCUUAUCGCAUCUCAAAAAUUUAUAAUUCAAUUUUUAGCAUUUAAAAAAAAUUCUCCAUCUGGGCAUUUUGUUUCCAUGCCAGAAAACAUAGAAAAACCUAAUCCCUGUUUCAAUCUCUGCUCUAUUUGCUGCUCAUAACACGUGAAACCAAAGGGGUUCUAAUCUGUAUGCAAGCCAUUAAAGCUCUAGUUUCUUCUUUCUCAUGUUAUCUUGUAUACUUUAGCUCUAUUAGAGUUGUUAAUGACAAAUAUAUGACGGUGCCCCAUGUGUUUUUUCACAUGGCACUCGAAAAAUCACCUAUCUUUUUGCAGAUAUAUAUUGGAGCUCGUACUGUUCCAUAAUCUGCAACAAAAUGAUGAUGAUGAUGGUCACCAUCACCAUCACCGUUACUUUCUCUUCCUCUCUAUUAUUAAUAUAUCCCUUCGCUUUCAUCCUAUCGCUUGCAUUUUCACCAUGGUAAACAAAACACCGACCUCGUGGUUGUCAAUGGCGAAAAGGGCUUUCGGGUCUAAUGCUAUACAUAACGAGAAAAAAAGUUGCAGAACAAGAGAGAAAAGAUGAUGGCUAUUUAAAUGGCCUCAACAACGUAAACCCAAAACCAAAUCACAAUCCAUUGCAGCUGUUAACAUCGUUAGGCUUAAUUGCAGAGCUUCCAAUAACGCCAUUGUUGGUGAAAAAAACCAAGCUGCCAUUGUCAUUCAAACAGCUUUUAGAGGCUACAUAGUAAGUGAAAGAUUCUCUCUCUCUAUAUGAUUAACUGUUUAUUUAGUGUUUUUGAUGAAGUUUUUUUUGUGAAAGGCAAGGAAAGCAUUGGGAGCAUUGCAAGGGGUAGUGAAGCUUCAAGCUUUAGUGAGAGGGUACAAUGUGAGAAGGCGAGCAAAGGUGGCACUAAAAUGCAUGCAAUCUUUGGUUCGAGUUCAAAUCGAGUGCUGCUCCAUCAACAACGAGCGAGGCUUUCAUAUGAAGGAUGUAGAAGGGCCAUGUUUAUUGAAUCAAAUUCAUCGUUGGAAUCUCCAUGUCUGCAAGAUGUUCGUAGUAGAGAGUCCAUCGUAAGUGCUCUAACUUUUUUUCAUUUGGUUUUACUGUGUUCCAUAAAUAGUUUAGCUCUCUAAUUCUACUUAAUAAUUUUGGUAACGAACGUCUUUAGGUACUCUUUUAAGAUUAAUUAUUAUAUACUAUAUGUAGUGCAGCACAAAUAUAUUUAUCAUUUGCGGAUUUUAGCAUUGAGUAAAACUUAAUUCGAUUGUGAAAAAUCGAAAAAAAAUUUGAAGUUCGAGUUAAUCGAAUUGAGUUAAAUUUUAUGAUUCGAAUAACUCAAAUAAUUAGAAUAAAUAUUUAUAAAAAUUAUAAAUAUUCUAAAAAUUCUAAAAAAUACAUAAAGAAAUUUAAAAAUUUAAAAAAUUCUAAAAUAAAAAUUUUGAAUACCUAAAAAGGUUAAUUAAUGGUUUAAGUUUAUACUAUUAAAUAUCCUAUUAUUAUUAUUUUAUUUAGAUUUGAAAAAGUUUUCAAAUAUAUAUGGUUUCAAAGCUUUAAUAUGGAAUUAGUUAUACUGUAACAAUAUUUUAAUUUAACUCGAUUAAACUUGACUCAAAUUUCAUUUCAUUCGACUUGAUUUAAAAAAAUUUCAAAUCAAAUUAAGAUGAUAAAAUAGGACUCGUGAACUCGAUUAAUUUGAAAAAUUUUACUCGAUUCGAUCGAACGCUCAACUCUAAUAAAUUUAAUAAUUUAACUCAAUUAACAUUGGUACAGUUGAAAUUAAGAGAACGUGAUUCCACUCUAAUUAAAUACGUAUUAUCUUUUAAUUUAAACGUUUAGGAUAAAAAUAUAAUGGGCCAAACGGGGCCUGGACUCAAUUUACAACUAAUUUUCAUGCGGGCUCAAAUCCACCCAAAUGGUACAUUUUAUUGUUAAAAAAAUUUAAAAUAUUGUAAUUUAAUUUAAUUAUAAAAAUAUUAAAAUAAUGAUUUAUAUUAGCCUGACAAAAGACCUUAUUAGAAUCAUGCUAAUAGUUUGGAGGCUCAAUUAAAAUCCUUUAAAGUUUAGGUAUGGAUUUAAAAUGCUAAUAUUUUGCUGUUAAUUCAUUUCAAUUUCGUGUUCUUCGCGGUGAUCUCGAGGUCGGGUUCUAGUUUUUUUUUUUCAUCAAUGGAGAUUAUUGUAGCUUUAGCUUAGUUUCUGAAACAGAUUCUUAUAUAAUUAUACCCAACAUUUCAAAACUCUAUUUUUGCUUUUAAAAUUUCUCUGUUUGGGUUAAUAAAUUCUGGGUUUUUAUUUUUGUUUUUGAUCAGAUGCUAAAAAAGGGAGUUUUUUUUAUUUAAAUAAUAGGGAUAAUCUAAUCUAACCAUCAGGCCAUGGCUGUUGUUGAGAAUGCUUCGAAUCAAGACACGGCGGCUGCAACAGUGACGUCAAACGACCAGGAUCAGUCAAAGCUUCGGUCAACAACCGAUCUGAGCUUACACGACAACGAUCAAGGGUUGUACAACAAGAUCGGUGGAACCAACGGUGGUGGUGGUAAAAAUGAGCUUGGGGAUAGUUUCAAAAGAGAUAUGAGGGAGUUACAAGAACUGUUCUCUAAGCUUAACCCCAUGGCUGAAGAGUUUGUACCUCACUCGCUUGUUAACAAUGGACUCAAUGGUGGGUUUCACACUAACAAUAUUGCUUUUCAAAACAACAAUAACAACAUCUCAAGGAAUGGUAAUGCUAAUUGCAAUGGUGGUGGUAAAGGGGUAUGUCACCAAAACCCCCAGUUAUUUUCAUUGAUGCUUAGUGCACAUUUUGUGUAAGGAAAUUGAUUUGCUUUGUGAAUAUUAUUGCUGUAUUGGACUUAUGCUUGGUAGGGUUGGUUCUUAUUUUAGGGUUUUUUUGGCUGAUAACUUAAAAAAACUGAAUUAUUCGAGUUUGUGUGAUGGUCUCACCCUAUAUCCAAUGUGCAGUGACUAUAUUGUGUAUCUGUUUUCUCAAUAAUGGAGAAGAUGAAAUAGGAUUUAAUUGAACAAAUUUGGUUGAGUAGAGGUUAUCCUUUUAUGUUAUGUACAUUUUAAACCGUACGAAAGCUUAAAUUCCGAAUAUUAGCGAAAUUCUGUAUGAUAUCAUGGAUUUUGUUCAUUCAUUUCGUUUUUCUCAGAAGAAAAUUUUAGGUCAAGGGAAACGGAAAUCGAACAGCAGGACAAGUAUGGCUCAAAGAGAAGAGGUUAUCCGUAGGACUGUUUAUGUGUCUGAUAUCGACCACCAGGUAUGUUUAUUUAUUUGGCAUUUUCAGCUUUGUUUGCAUGCUGCAAUCGAAUUCUUCUGUUUCAGUUUUGUCAUCACUUGUUGGGAUGCAGGUCACGGAGGAGCAGCUUGCCGGUUUAUUUGUGGGUUGUGGGCAGGUGAUGUUAUUUUCAUUACUCGUCUUUGCAGUUUUAUCGAAAACAACCUAUCUGAAUGUACUUUUUCUUUCUGAAGGUGGUUGACUGUCGCAUAUGUGGUGAUCCUAACUCUGUACUUCGUUUUGCUUUUAUCGAGUUUACUGAUGAAGGUGAUGUUCAACCAUGGUUAUUUGUUUCAUUCUUUAGCGGAUAAACGUGGUAUUUACAUUCUUUACUAUGCAGAAGGUGCGCAAGCUGCACUGAACCUGGCGGGGACUAUGCUUGGAUUCUAUCCAGUUAGGGUGCUGCCUUCGAAAACAGCUAUUGCACCUGUUAACCCGACAUUUUUGCCAAGGGUGAGGCUGAUUAUCGUAAAUUUAUUAUACCAGAACUUGUUGAUACAUUUUCUUUAUGUAUUUGGCCCGUUAAAGCAUUUGUUAUUUGGAUUUCAGAACGAGGAUGAGCGUCAAAUAUGUGCAAGAACUAUCUAUUGUACAAAUAUUGACAAGAAGGUGAGAAGCUUUUUUGCAAUUUAUAAUGUUGAAUAUAAAAACGAUCCCGAUUGCAAAUGACCCUUCAAAUUUUUUUUUAUUCGAUUUUGCAUACUGCAGGUUACUCAAGCUGAUGUUAAACUCUUUUUCGAAACAGUCUGUGGGGAGGUUUGUUUAACUCUGGUGUUCUGUUUUACUAUUUAUUACGACAAAACCUAUCGGGAUGCAUUUAAAGGGAGUACUUGUCUGAUGCAGGUUUAUCGCCUAAGGCUGCUUGGGGACUAUCAGCAUUCAACUCGCAUUGCUUUCGUCGAGUUUGCAAUGGUAAUUGUUUUUUUCCUCUUCAUUCAUGCAAUGUGACUGAACAACUUUUCCCUUGUUUAUCGAGUCUUUAAUGCGGUAUACGAGUGCAUGACCUUUAGAUCUGAAAGUUUUGGCUAGCAGGUCAGUAUUCCCCUUAGGAGGAGUGCAUUCGCUUCGGAGCUGUGGUUUUUGUUUUCAUGGGUUAAAUUCGAAAGCAAAAAACUCGAUUUAACUGUUGAAUUCUAGUAUAGUAGGUGUUACUGCGUAGGUUAUAUCAUGGAGGUCUUUGUACUAGGAGUUGGAUUGCAUUUUGUUCCCCUACUCAAAAAAAGGGCAAAUUAGUUUCUAUAUGUUAGAUUAAAGAGGAAAGUGGCCUUUUUGUUAAAAUUUUUAUCCAUUUCUACCAUUAAAAAUUGGUUCAUGUAUAUCAGUAUGGGGUACAUGUCGCUUGCCAUGUGUCAUUGUCUGGUUAUUUUGUCAGUCAAGUCAGUUUUUAACAGUAUAAAUGAAUAUAUUUUUUAACAAAAAGAACCAAUUUGCUCUUUGGUUUGACAUUCAGGGACUAAUUUGUCUAUUUUUUGAGUAGAGGAGGCAAAAUGCAAUUUAAUUCCUAGUAUAGGGGCUUAUUGAACCUACGUUGGCUUAUUGGAAAAGUUAUCGGUGUUUCAACACGGGUUUAAACUUUGGAAGUGAUAUUUAAUGCCUAUUAGUCAUCCCGAGAUUGGGUUACCUCAGUGUUGAUGAACGAAAGAUUGAGUUCUCUCGUAUUCACCUGCAGGCUGAAAGUGCAAUUGCUGCUCUCAACUGUAGUGGUGUGGUUCUGGGAUCAUUGCCUAUAAGGUCAGAUUCCUGAUUCUCCCAUCAGUUGUUGAACGGAUAUAUUCUCUCGGUUUUCUUUUUUUUGUUUCACCGUAAUUUCUAUCCAAAUAUCGAUAAAAAGUAUAUAUAUAUAUCUGUUGCCUUUUAAGUGAAAACCUCGGGUGUUGUGUAUGAACAGGAUCAGCCCAUCAAAGACCCCAGUUCGGCCACGAGCUCCUCGCCUUCCCUCGUACUAAAUCAUUCACUCUGAACCAAUUUUAGUUCCAAGUUUAUAUAUAUAUUUAUUUAAAUACAUACACACCCAUGUAAGGAUGUUUCCCCCUGUUGCUCUUGCUGAUCUACAUAUAUAUCGUCCACUGCUGCUAUGUUUCGGCAUCUUCGUUUACCAUAGGAGUCUUGUCUUUU
rnacentral:lncRNA from 1 species